UACGUAGGGGGCUAGCGUUGUCCGGAAUCAUUGGGCGUAAAGAGCGUGUAGGCGGUCCGGUAAGUCCGCUGUGAAAGUCGGGGGCUCAACCCUCGAAUGCCGGUGGAUACUGUCGGGCUAGAGUACGGAAGAGGCGAGUGGAAUUCCUGGUGUAGCGGUGAAAUGCGCAGAUAUCAGGAGGAACACCUAUUGCGAAGGCAGCUCGCUGGGACGUUACUGACGCUGAGGCGCGAAAGCGUGGGGAGCGAACAGG
rnacentral:rRNA from 1 species